CAGUCGCCGCGGUAAAACGUAGGUGGCAAGCGUCGUCCGGAAUUAUUGGGCGUAAAGGGCUCGCAGGCGGUUUCUUAAGUCUGAUGUGAAAGCCCCCGGCUCAACCGGGGAGGGUCAUUGGAAACUGGGAAACUUGAGUGCAGAAGAGGAGAGUGGAAUUCCACGUGUAGCGGUGAAAUGCGUAGAGAUGUGGAGGAACACCAGUGGCGAAGGCGACUCUCUGGUCUGUAACUGACGCUGAUGCACGAAAGCUAGGGGAGCAAACAGGAUUAGAUACCCCUGUAGUCCCUGUCUCUUAUAC
rnacentral:rRNA from 1 species